ACGCUCAGCCUGCGAACUGGUGGUGAGUGGUCUCACUCGCCACGGAACCCGGUGAAAAUCCGGGACUGACGCGCAGCGGUGAAGGUGACGAGACCGGCAGCAGGCCACUGGGAGAAAUCCCGGGAAGGUGCCGGGGAAGGGCGAUCCUGAGUCCGAAGACAGCCGGUUCGCGACGUCGACG
rnacentral:ncRNA from 2 species